rnacentral:rRNA from 1 species
AUACGGAGGGUGCAAGCGUUAUUCGGAAUCACUGGGCGUAAAGGACGCGUAGGCGGGUUGGCAAGUCAGAUGUGAAAUCCUACAGCUUAACUGUAGAACUGCAUUUGAAACUGAUAACCUAGAGUAUGGGAGGGGGAGAUGGAAUUAGUGGUGUAGGGGUAAAAUCCGUAGAUAUCACUAGGAAUACCGAAAGCGAAGGCGAUCUCCUGGAACAUAACUGACGCUAAGGCGUGAAAGCGUGGGGAGCAAACAGGAUUAGAAACCCCAGUAGUCC